CGCCUCUUGCAACCAAAGUAUAAGAGGUCCUGCCUGCCCAGUGACAUUAAGUUUAACGGCCGCGGUAUUAUGACCGUGCAAAGGUAGCGUAAUCACUUGUCUUUUAAAUAAAGACCAGUAUGAAUGGCAAGACGAAAGUUCAACUGUCUCCCUAAAUUAAUCAAUGAAAUUGAUCUUCCCGUGCAGAAGCGGGAAUAAAAUUAUAAGACGAGAAGACCCUAUGGAGCUUUAAAUAUAUGAUCAACUGUAUAAUAUAAAAUUCAAUAGAUUAAAUAUUUAAUAAAACAUUAUGAUCAAAAUUUUAGGUUGGGGCGACCACGGAGAAAAACAAAACCUCCGAGAUGAAAAGAAUAUCUUAAUUUAUGAAUUACAGUUCUAAUAAAUAAAAUAUUUAACAUAAUUGAUCCAAUAUUUUUGAUCAACGAACUAAGUUACCCUAGGGAUAACAGCGCAAUCCUUUCCAAGAGUCCCUAUCGACGAAUGGGUUUACGACCUCGAUGUUGGAUCAGGACACCCCAAUGGUGCAGCCGCUAUUAAAGGUUCGUUUGUUCAACGAUUAAAGUCCU
rnacentral:rRNA from 1 species